rnacentral:rRNA from 1 species
AAGACUCGGUUUACCGGACACUGGCGGACAGGUGAGUAACGCGUGGGGAUCUGCCUCGGAGUGGGGGACAACCGCUGGAAACGGCGGCUAAUACCGCAUACGCCCUUAGGGGGAAAACUCCGGUGCUCUGAGAUGAUCCCGCGUCGGAUUAGCUAGUUGGUGGGGUAACGGCUUACCAAGGCGACGAUCCGUAGCUGGUCUGAGAGGAUGACCAGCCACACUGGAACUGAGACACGGUCCAG